AUGCUUAGGAGUCACAACCAGAAGCCACAACUGAACACCAGAUGUAUGAACGGGUCAGUGGGCAAAAGCAGAGGCUCCCUGCCUUUCUGCAGAUGCGCUCUAUUGAGGGGUCGACACGCGGCGGGACGCAGUCCUGAGGAGGGGCCUCUGGCGACCCCCUCCUCCUCUCUAUCACCCUGGAAACCAGCUUUCAGUGGACCAGAGCAGACCAGGGGUGCAAUGACACGGACCCGGAUCCAGAUGAAACCCGAACGGACCUCUGUGUGGCAAAUAAUACCCCAUUUGUACCCAGUUUGUCUGACAUAACAAGAGCCGCCGGCAUCUCCAUGACAGCUCGUCAUGAGAACGAAAGACCUUAUAAACGAGUAUUGUAUCCCACUGUUCUCAUGCACAGACCACACCAGAGACACAACUCACAGACCGUACUGUCCAAACUGUUUACAAACCAAACUUACACUUGUGAGAUGACUAUAUACUUCAAUUUCUAAACCAUUAGUACAAUUUCUUUUAAUCUGGUUAUUUAAUAAUGUAAUAUAAUAUAAUAAUAACUUUAUUUUUCUAUAGCGCCUUUAAAAUAGAAUACAUGAAUAAUAAAAUAAUAAUACAUUCUCUGUAAUUGUUUUGCAAUCUGAACAUAAACAAUAACAGAACAUUUGAGUUCAUCUUAAUUCAAUAAUAUUGCACACUACACAUACUGUGCCUCCAAAAACUGUACGUCAUUGCACCAGACAAGAAAAAAUCAAAACAAGGCACAUCUGCAAACAAAUAACACUAGACCUUUCCUCAGAAGGGAAAAUAAGCAACUAGUUCCAAGUGAUUUUUAGUGAAAGUCUGGCCCUUAGGCGUUAAAUGUGACAUGUUUGACUAGCCUUUAACAACCAGUAAUUGUCCAAAUAUGUUUUUGUCUUAUUAGUGGUGUGCAGUGGUGUUAUGAAAUGAGGAGGCAAAGUCCUCACAGUUGUUGUUUUUUUUUUAUUUAUCAAAUGUAAAUUCAUGUCCCAGUCACAUUUUCUUGCUUAAACAUUACUUAUACUAUCAGAAAAAGAGAAGAAAAAAAAAAUUAUAUUCAAUUUGAUAUUUUUACAUUACCAAUGUAACCAAUAUUCUAUUUAUUAAAGUCAAGGAUCAAUCUCAUCAAGUUAGUGUUUUUAGGCACUUUACAUUUAUUACCACAAUAUUAACUCAAGACAGUAACAAUUUAAAAAACAUAUUUUAUUUGUGAACUUAGGUUCAGCUAUUCUUUUAAAUAGUCAUCUUUUAACUUUUUAUUUUAUUUUUCAAAGCUAGGUAAAUAGCUAUUGGUCACAGACACAGAGAUUUACUGUUAAUUUUACUAAGCUGAUUACUAGCUAAAAACUCCCACAGAUCAUGUUUUCAGUACAUUUAAGUUUUAUUUUGGCAUAACAAAGUGAUUAUAUCUAAGUGUGUGAGUUGUUUACUUACUUUUUAAAAUUAGUCUUCCCAUUAAUGCCAUUAUAUUGUUCAUUCAGACUGAUU
ensembl:lncRNA